GAUGAACGCUGGCGGCGUGCCUAAUACAUGCAAGUCGAACGCUGGAAAUCUAGCUUGCUAGAUUGAAGGAGUGGCGAACGGGUGAGUAAUACAUAAGCAACCUACCCACGAAGACUGGGAUAAUCUCUGGAAACGGGGACUAAUACCGGAUAGGUAAUCGGAAGGCAUCUUCUGAUUAUUAAAGGUUAAAAACACUGGUGGAUGGGCUUAUGGCGCAUUAGUUAGUUGGUGAGGUAACGGCCCACCAAGACGAUGAUGCGUAGCCGGCCUGAGAGGGUGAACGGCCACAUUGGGACUGAGACACGGCCCAGACUCCUACGGGAGGCAGCAGUAGGGAAUUUUCGGCAAUGGGGGAAACCCUGACCGAGCAACGCCGCGUGAGUGAUGACGGCCUUCGGGUUGUAAAGCUCUGUUGUAAGGGAGGAACGGUAGAUAGAGAAUAUCUAAAUGACGGUACCUUACCAGAAAGCCACGGCUAACUACGUG
rnacentral:rRNA from 1 species